rnacentral:miRNA from 1 species
GAAGCGUCUCCGUGUGGUCGGCG